GAUGAAGAACGUAGCGAAAUGCGAUAAGUAGUGUGAAUUGCAGAAUUCAGUGAAUCAUCGAAUCUUUGAACGCACAUUGCGCCCUUUGGUAUUCCAAAGGGCAUGCCUGUUCGAGCGUCAUUUGUACCCUCAAGCUUUGCUUGGUGUUGGGCGUCUUGUCUCUAGCUUUGCUGGAGACUCGCCUUAAAGUAAUUGGCAGCCGGCCUACUGGUUUCGGAGCGCAGCACAAGUCGCACUCUCUAUCAGCAAAGGUCUAGCAGCCAUUAAGCCUUUUUUUCAACUUUUGACCUCGGAUCAGGUAGGGAUACCCGCUGAACUUAAGCAUAUCAAAAGCGGAGGA
rnacentral:misc_RNA from 1 species